GUUUAUUUUUUUUUUUUUUUUUUUUUUUUUUUUUUUUUUUUUUUUUUUUUUUUUAAAAUUUUUUUUAUGUUUUAGUAUUUUUUUUGAAUUAAUUUUUUUUUAUUAUAGUCUAUUAAGUACUGUAAAGGAAUAUUUUUUUAUUAUUAUUAAAGUAGUUUUUUUUGUACCUUUUGUAUCAGGGUAAAUUUAUUUAAUUUAAUUUAUAUUAUUUUCCCGAAGAUGAAAGAUUUAAAUUUUAUUGUUAGUUAAUGUUGAAUUAUUAUUAAUAAUUAAUUUUUAGUGAUGAAAUGUUAUUCGUUUUUAUUGAUAUCUGGUUUCUUAAUAUUAAAUUUAAUUUUUUAUUAAUUUUUUUAUAUUAAUUAUUUUGUUUUAAUAUUUUAUUUAAUAUUAUUUAAUUGGGGAUUAUCUUGAUUUUGUUUUAAUAAUUUUUUUUUGUUAUUAAUUUUUAUAUGCUUAGAAACAGUAUUUUUAUUAUUUCGUAAUUGUUUAUUUUAAUUUUUUAUUUAUUUAUUUUGAUUUUAAUUUUUAUUAAGUUUUUUAUUUUAAUUUUUUUUUAUUAGUUAAUGAUUUAAUUAGUAUAAUUUUUUUUUAUUUUAUAGGAAUUCGGCAAUAUUUUAUUUUCCACCUGUUUAUCAAAAACAUGGUUUUUAGUUUUUUUAUUAAAGAUUUAAUCUGCCCAAUGAGUAUAUUUAAAUGGCCGCAGUAAUUUGACUGUGCAAAGGUAGCAUAAUAAUUAGGCUUUUAAUUGGAGUCUGGUAUGAAUGAUUGGAUGAGAAAUUAACUUUCUUUAAUUUUUUUAUUUGAAUUUAAUUUUUAAGUGAAAAAGCUUAGAUUUUUCUAUGGGACGAUAAGACCCUUUAGAGCUUUAUGAUUUUUUUUUUAUAAUUUUUUUUUAUAAUUUUAUUAUUUUGCAAUUAUUUUGUUGGGGUGACAAUUAAAUUUUUUUAACUUUAAUAUUUUUAUUCAUUUAUUUUUGUUUAUUUUGAUCUUUUAUUAAUGAUUUUUAGAUUAAGUUACCUUAGGGAUAACAGCGUAAUUUUUUUGGAGAGUUCUUAUUGAUAAAAAAGUUUGCGACCUCGAUGUUGGAUUAAGAUUAGCUUAAGGUGCAGUAUUUUUAAUGACUAGGUCUGUUCGACCUUUUAAUUCUUACAUGAUCUGAGUUCAGACCGGCGUGAGCCAGGUUGGUUUCUAUCUUUAGAUUAUUAUAUUUAUUGUUUUAGUACGAAAGGACCAA
rnacentral:rRNA from 1 species